rnacentral:tRNA from 1 species
ACUUCUGUAGCUCAGAGGAAGAGCAGCCUUCUCAUCCAAGGCCUGGCGCAGGUUCGAUUCCUGCCGGAAACC